rnacentral:rRNA from 1 species
GGAGGGUGCAAGCGUUAUCCGGAUUCACUGGGUUUAAAGGGUGCGUAGGUGGGUUGGUAAGUCAGUGGUGAAAUCCCCGAGCUUAACUUGGGAACUGCCAUUGAUACUAUCAGUCUUGAAUACCGUGGAGGUCAGCGGAAUAUGUCAUGUAGCGGUGAAAUGCUUAGAUAUGACAUAGAACACCAAUUGCGAAGGCAGCUGGCUACACGAAUAUUGACACUGAGGCACGAAAGCGUGGGGAUCAAACAGGAUUAGAUACCCUGGUAGUCCACGCCCUAAACUAUGGAUACUCGACAUACGCGAUACACUGUGUGUGUCUGAGCGAAAGCAUUAAGUAUCCCACCUGGGAAGUACGAUCGCAAGAUUG